AUUGAACGCUGGCGGAAUGCUUUACACAUGCAAGUCGAACGGCAGCGGGGACUUCGGUCUGCCGGCGAGUGGCGAACGGGUGAGUAAUGCAUCGGAACGUGCCUAUCAGUGGGGGAUAACGCUUCGAAAGGAGUGCUAAUACCGCAUAUUCUCCGAGGAGGAAAGCAGGGGGACCUUCGGGCCUUGCGCUGAUAGAGCGGCCGAUGUCGGAUUAGCUAGUUGGUGAGGUAAAGGCCUACCAAGGCGACGAUCCAUAGCUGGUCUGAGAGGAUGAUCAGCCACACUGGGACUGAGACACGGCCCAGACUCCUACGGGAGGCAGCAGUGGGGAAUAUUGGACAAUGGGCGAAAGCCUGAUCCAGCAAUGCCGCGUGAGUGAUGAAGGCCUUAGGGUGUAAACCGCUUUCAGUAGGGAAGAAGCGAAAGUGACGGUACCUACAAAAGAAGCACCGGCUAAACUAUGUGCCAGCAGCCGC
rnacentral:rRNA from 1 species